UACAGAGGUCUCAAGCGUUGUUCGGAUUCAUUGGGCGUAAAGGGUGCGUAGGCGGCGCGGUAAGUCGGGUGUGAAAUCUCGGAGCUUAACUCCGAAACUGCAUUCGAUACUGCGGUGCUUGAGGACUGGAGAGGAGACUGGAAUUUAUGGUGUAGCAGUGAAAUGCGUAGAGAUCAUAAGGAAGACCAGUGGCGAAGGCGGGUCUCUGGACAGUUCCUGACACUGAGGCACGGAAGGCCCAGGGGAGCAAACGGG
rnacentral:rRNA from 1 species